rfam:Dufourea novaeangliae contig2676, whole genome shotgun sequence.
GAAUCGGCCCUUUUUAGGGCCAAAAAUUUUGUCCAAACGUUAGAU